rnacentral:misc_RNA from 1 species
GGAAGGAUCAUUAACGCUAAUCCAAUCAACUCAACCUAGCCUAUAGUUGCCUCAGCAGCGCUUGCCUCGGCAGUGCAGCUGAUGCAGCACACACAAAUCUAAUUACGCAAAGGAGCAUAACUAAGCUCAACCAUAAAUCCAAAUUCUCAACGAUGGAUAUCUUGGUUCCCAUAACGAUGAAGAACGCAGCGAAGUGCGAUAAGCAAUGCGAAUUGCAGAACCGUGAGUCAUCAGAUUUUUGAACGCAACUGGCGCCGAAUGGCUCUCCAUUCGGCAUGCUUGUUUCAGUGUCUCUUUAUCUCAUAACCUAUAUCAUAAUGCGAGAGAUACCCUUCUCUUGCUAAGCAUGAAAGCACUCUAUUCUCUGCGAGCGAUACGACUUGUUCGUGUCGCACUCAAUGCAGCAGUCACAUUGCUCACAAUGUGAACUCAUUGAGAGCCGAGGUAGUGCAGCAUUAGCUGCUAGUGCUUAGUCACCCAAACUUAUUUGCAUCUGAAAUCAAGCAGGAUCACCCGCUGAACUUAAGCAUAUCAAUAAGCGGAGGAGAAGAAAUUAACUAAGAUUGCCCUAGUAACGGCGAGUGAAGCGGCAAGAGCCCAAACUGGAAAUCUCGUACCUUCGGUACGCGAAUUGUAAUCUAAAGAGUGCUUACUCACCGGGGAGUGGCGCAGAAGUUCCCUCGAACGGGACGCCAGAGAGGGUGACAGCCCCGUAUGUGGUGCCAUUCCCUAACGAGUGGGUGUUCAAAGAGUCGGGUUGUUUUGUACUACAGCCCUAAGUCGGAGAUAAACUUCUUCUAAGGCUAAAUAUAUAUGGGAAACCGAUAGCGAACAAGUACUGUGAAGGAAAGAUGAAAAGAACUUUGAAAAGAGAGUCAAAAGACUUGAAAUCGUUGAGAAGGAAGCGGUAGAAAUUUAUCCUUCUGCGGAGGUCGGUGGUCCUUGCCAAACCAUUACUCGUGGGCAGUACUGAAUAAGGCUGCCUUAGGUACUUGGGGAAGCGGAGCCUUGACCUUCGUAGUGCGGCAAAAUGAGGUCGUAUUUCCACAAAAGCUUCUUUCAACCGGGUUCCUUCGGGGAUCAGUGGAGGUGUGCUGGUGGCAAUGCGGCCUGAGGAUGCAUUUGCGAUUUUGCCAAAAUGGUUUUUACCGACCCGUCUUGAAACACGGACCAAGGAGUCUAACAUAUAUGCGAGUGUGCUGGUGGAAAAACCAACACGCGUAAUGAAAGUAAGUGAUGCCAGGACCCCUGCAGCAUCAACCAACCAUGAUCCUCCGGUGAAAGGUUUGAGUAUGAGCAUAUCUGUUAGGACCCGAAAGAUGGUGAACUAUGCCUGAGUAGGGUGAAGCCAGGGGAAACUCUGGUGGAGGCUCGUAGCGGUUCUGACGUGCAAAUCGAUCGUCAAACUUGGGUAUAGGGGCGAAAGACUAAUCGAACCAUCUAGUAGCUGGUUCCCUC